AGAUUAAGUUAUUAAGGGCGCACGGUGGAUGCCUUGGCACUAGAAGCCGAAGAAGGACGUUACUAACGACGAUAUGCUUUGGGUAGCUGUAAGUAAGCGUUGAUCCAGAGAUUUCCGAAUGGGGGAACCCAACAUGAGUUAUGUCAUGUUAUCGACAUGUGAAUUCAUAGCAUGUCAGAAGGCAGACCCGGAGAACUGAAACAUCUUAGUACCCGGAGGAAGAGAAAGAAAAAUCGAUUCCCUGAGUAGCGGCGAGCGAAACGGGAAGAGCCCAAACCAACAAGCUUGCUUGUUGGGGUUGUAGGACACUCUAUACGGAGUUACAAAAGAACAUGUUAGACGAAUCAUCUGGAAAGAUGAAUCAAAGAAGGUAAUAAUCCUGUAGUCGAAAACAUAUUCUCUCUUGAGUGGAUCCUGAGUACGACGGAGCACGUGAAAUUCCGUCGGAAUCUAGGAGGACCAUCUCCUAAGGCUAAAUACUCUCUAGUGACCGAUAGUGAACCAGUACCGUGAGGGAAAGGUGAAAAGUACCCCGGAAGGGGAGUGAAAGAGAACUUGAAACCGUGUGCUUACAAGUAGUCAGAGCCCGUUUAUGGGUGAUGGCGUGCCUUUUGUAGAAUGAACCGGCGAGUUACGAUCUGAUGCAAGGUUAAGCAGCGAAUGUGGAGCCGUAGCGAAAGCGAGUCUGAAUAGGGCGUUGAGUAUUUGGUCGUAGACCCGAAACCAGGUGAUCUACCCUUGGUCAGGUUGAAGUUCAGGUAACACUGAAUGGAGGACCGAACCGACUUACGUUGAAAAGUGAGCGGAUGAACUGAGGGUAGCGGAGAAAUUCCAAUCGAACUUGGAGAUAGCUGGUUCUCUCCGAAAUAGCUUUAGGGCUAGCCUCAAGUGAUGAUUAUUGGAGGUAGAGCACUGUUUGGACGAGGGGCCCCUCUCGGGUUACCGAAUUCAGACAAACUCCGAAUGCCAAUCAAUUUAACUUGGGAGUCAGAACAUGGGUGAUAAGGUCCGUGUUCGAAAGGGAAACAGCCCAGACCACCAGCUAAGGUCCCAAAAUAUAUGUUAAGUGGAAAAGGAUGUGGCGUUGCCCAGACAACUAGGAUGUUGGCUUAGAAGCAGCCAUCAUUUAAAGAGUGCGUAAUAGCUCACUAGUCGAGUGACACUGCGCCGAAAAUGUACCGGGGCUAAACAUAUUACCGAAGCUGUGGAUUGUCCUUCGGACAAUGGUAGGAGAGCGUUCUAAGGGCGUUGAAGCAUGAUCGCAAGGACAUGUGGAGCGCUUAGAAGUGAGAAUGCCGGUGUGAGUAGCGAAAGACGGGUGAGAAUCCCGUCCACCGAUUGACUAAGGUUUCCAGAGGAAGGCUCGUCCGCUCUGGGUUAGUCGGGUCCUAAGCUGAGGCCGACAGGCGUAGGCGAUGGAUAACAGGUUGAUAUUCCUGUACCACCUAGUAUCGUUUUAAUCGAUGGGGGGACGCAGUAGGAUAGGCGAAGCGUGCUGUUGGAGUGCACGUCCAAGCAGUAAGGCUGAGUGUUAGGCAAAUCCGGCACUCGUUAGGCUGAGCUGUGAUGGGGAGAGGAAAUUGUUUCCUCGAGUCGUUGAUUUCACACUGCCGAGAAAAGCCUCUAGAUAGAUAACAGGUGCCCGUACCGCAAACCGACACAGGUAGUCAAGAUGAGAAUUCUAAGGUGAGCGAGCGAACUCUCGUUAAGGAACUCGGCAAAAUGACCCCGUAACUUCGGGAGAAGGGGUGCUCUUUAGGGUUCACGCCCAGAAGAGCCGCAGUGAAUAGGCCCAAGCGACUGUUUAUCAAAAACACAGGUCUCUGCUAAACCGUAAGGUGAUGUAUAGGGGCUGACGCCUGCCCGGUGCUGGAAGGUUAAGAGGAGUGGUUAGCUUCUGCGAAGCCACGAAUCGAAGCCCC
rnacentral:rRNA from 1 species